rnacentral:tRNA from 2 species
CCUUUGAUAGCUCAGUUGGUAGAGCAGGGGACUGUAGAUUUGUAACUGUGAUCCCUAGGUCGCUUGUUCGAAUCCUGCUCGAAGGA